rnacentral:rRNA from 1 species
UACGUAGGGUGCAAGCGUUGUCCGGAAUUAUUGGGCGUAAAGAGCUCGUAGGCGGUUUGUCGCGUCUGCUGUGAAAACUCGGGGCUUAACUCCGGGCCUGCAGUGGGUACGGGCAGACUAGAGUGCGGUAGGGGAGACUGGAAUUCCUGGUGUAGCGGUGAAAUGCGCAGAUAUCGGGAGGAACACCCGUAGCGAAGGCGGCACUCUGGGCCGGUACUGACGCUGAGGAGCGAAAGCGUGGGGAGCAAACAGG